GGUAAAAUGGCUGAUUAAGGUGAUAAAUUGUAAAUUUAUUUAUGGAUAAUUUCCUUUUACUA
rnacentral:tRNA from 1 species